UGAGAAAUUAGGUUCUGAAGGCAGUGGA
rnacentral:piRNA from 2 species